rnacentral:rRNA from 1 species
GUCCUAGCCGUAAACGGUGCACGUUUGCUGUAAAAGGAAUCGACCCCUUUUGUGGCGUAGCCAACGCGUUAAACGUGCCGCCUGGGAAGUACGGUCGCAAGAUUAAAACUCAAAGAAAUUGACGGGGCCUGCACAAGCGGUGGAGUAUGUGGCUCAAUUCGAUGCAACGCGAAGAACCUUACCUGGCCUUGACAUGCAAGUAGUAGAAGGGUGAAAGCCCGACGAGGUAGCAAUACCAGCUUGCACAGGUGCUGCAUGGCUGUCGU